rnacentral:rRNA from 1 species
UACGAAGGGGGCAAGCGUUGUCCGGAAUUAUUGGGCGUAAAGCGCGCGCAGGCGGUCCCUUAAGUCUGAUGUGAAAGCCCACGGCUCAACCGUGGAGGGUCAUUGGAAACUGGGGGACUUGAGUACAGAAGAGGAAAGCGGAAUUCCACGUGUAGCGGUGAAAUGCGUAGAGAUGUGGAGGAACACCAGUGGCGAAGGCGGCUUUCUGGUCUGUAACUGACGCUGAGGCGCGAAAGCGUGGGGAGCAAACAGG